rnacentral:rRNA from 1 species
UACGAAGGGGGCUAGCGUUGUUCGGAAUCACUGGGCGUAAAGCGCACGUAGGCGGAUUGUUAAGUCGGGGGUGAAAUCCUGAGGCUCAACCUCAGAACUGCCUUCGAUACUGGCAAUCUCGAGUCCGGAAGAGGUUGGUGGAACAGCUAGUGUAGAGGUGAAAUUCGUAGAUAUUAGCUAGAACACCAGUGGCGAAGGCGGCCAACUGGACCGGUACUGACGCUGAGGUGCGAAAGCGUGGGGAGCAAACAGG